rnacentral:rRNA from 1 species
GGAAUAUUGGGCAAUGGACGAGAGUCUGACCCAGCCAUGCCGCGUGCAGGAAGACGGCGUUCUGCGUUGUAAACUGCUUUUAUCUGGGAAGAAAAGGCCCAUGCGUGGGACAUUGCCGGUACCAGAUGAAUAAGCACCGGCUCACUCCGUGACAGCAGCCGCGGUAAUACGGAGGGUGCAAGCGUUGUCCGGAUUUAUUGGGGUUAAAGGGUGCGUAGGCGGCUAUUUAAGUCAGUGGUGAAAGACUCCGGCUCAACCUGAGCAGUGCCAUUGAUACUGGGUAGCUUGAGUGUUGGAGGGGUACAUGGAAUUGAUGGUGUAGCGGUGAAAUGCAUAGAUACCAUCAGGAACACCGAUAGCGAAGGCAUUGUACUGGCCAACAACUGACGCUGAGGCACGAAAGCGUGGGGAGCGAAC